UACGGAGGGGGUUAGCGUUGUUCGGAAUUACUGGGCGUAAAGCGCACGUAGGCGGAUCAGAAAGUUAGGGGUGAAAUCCCGGGGCUCAACCUCGGAACUGCCUCUAAAACUCCUGGUCUAGAGUUCGAGAGAGGUGAGUGGAAUUCCAAGUGUAGAGGUGAAAUUCGUAGAUAUUUGGAGGAACACCAGUGGCGAAGGCGGCUCACUGGCUCGAUACUGACGCUGAGGUGCGAAAGUGUGGGGAGCAAACAGG
rnacentral:rRNA from 1 species